UACGGGGGGGGCAAGCGUUGUUCGGAAUUACUGGGCGUAAAGGGCUCGUAGGUGGCCAACUAAGUCAGACGUGAAAUCCCUCGGCUUAACCGGGGAACUGCGUCUGAUACUGGAUGGCUUGAGUUUGGGAGAGGGACGCGGAAUUCCAGGUGUAGCGGUGAAAUGCGUAGAUAUCGGGAGGAACAUCAGUGGCGAAGGCGGCCCUCUGGUCCAGUACUGACACUCAAGUGCGAAAGCGUGGGGAGCAAACAGG
rnacentral:rRNA from 1 species